GGCGAUCUUCAUCGAUGAUGAAAUGAUUAGGAGCAUCGUCGUCCACGUCCCAGGCGUCGUGAGAAGCACGCGAAAUGAAAGAUUGUACAAAAUCGAUGCCGAAGAAACCUAGGAGAUAGAUGAAGGAUGCGAUCAGAGAAACAAUAGCGGCGAUUUCGGAGAGAGUAACGACGUGGAGCGGAGUGUGCGUUCGGAUCUUGUCGCGCCACCGGUGGAGGAGGUAGUACGCGACAGAGAAAAAGAGCGUGAAGAAAAUGCCGUUGGUGAGGUAGAGAGGAAGAGGCAGUGCAUCCGAGGCUUUUGGAGUCGGAGGCGAAGGUGGCCCGUCCACGGCCCCCGUCGGCUUCAGCCGGUGGUGCCGAUCACUUUCAAGAGUGGCAUCCGCCGUCGCACGCGGUGGCCUAGGAGGCCGACGGCGAACAUCCAUAAAUAUUCCGGCGGGGUGAAAACGGGAAAUUCAACGAAAAUAUUCCGAGGUCCCAACAAUCUUGGCUCGAAG
rnacentral:lncRNA from 1 species